rnacentral:rRNA from 1 species
UACGUAGGCAGCGAGCGUCGUUCGGAAUUACUGGGCGUAAAGAGUGUGUAGGCGGUGAUCUAAGUUCGGUGUGAAAUCUCCCGGCUUAACUGGGAGGGUGCGCCGGAAACUGGAUUGCUUGAGCGUGGGAGAGGAAAGCGGAAUUCCUGGUGUAGCGGUGAAAUGCGUAGAUAUCAGGAGGAACACCGGUGGUGUAGGCGGCUUUCUGGACCAAAGCUGACGCUGAGACACGAAAGCGUGGGUAGCAAACAGG